GUGGCUAUAGCUCAGUCGGUAGAGCACCUGGUUGUGGUCCAGGGGGUCGCGGGUUCAAGUCCCGUUAGCCACCCCAUUC
rnacentral:tRNA from 1 species